CUACGGGUUGCACCAGUGAGGAAUAUUGCACAAUGGGGGGAACCCUGAUGCAGCAACGCCGCGUGGAGGAUGACGCAUUUCGGUGUGUAAACUCCUUUUAUAUGUCAAGAAAAUGACGGUAGCAUAUGAAUAAGCACCGGCUAACUCCGUGCCAGCAGCCGCGGUAAUACGGAGGGUGCAAGCGUUACUCGGAAUCACUGGGCGUAAAGGACGCGUAGGCGGGUUGGAAAGUCAGGUGUGAAAUCCUACAGCUUAACUGUAGAACUGCACUUGAAACUUCUAAUCUAGAGUAUGGGAGGGGGAGAUGGAAUUAGUGGUGUAGGGGUAAAAUCCGUAGAUAUCACUAGGAAUACCUAAAGCGAAGGCGAUCUCCUGGAACAUUACUGACGCUAAGGCGUGAAAGCGUGGGGAGCAAACAGGAUUAGACCCCUGUAGUC
rnacentral:rRNA from 1 species